UAGGGAAUCUUCCGCAGUGGACGCAAGUCUGACGGAGCAACGCCGCGUGAGUGAAGAAGGAUUUCGGUUCGUAAAACUCUGUUGUUAGAGAAGAACAGCGCAUAGAGUAACUGUUAUGCGUGUGACGGUACCUAAUCAGAAAGCCACGGCUAACUACGUGCCAGCAGCCGCGGUAAUACGUAGGUGGCAAGCGUUAUCCGGAAUUAUUGGGCGUAAAGCGCGCGUAGGCGGUUUUUUAAGUCUGAUGUGAAAGCCCACGGCUCAACCGUGGAGGGUCAUUGGAAACUGGAAAACUUGAGUGCAGAAGAGGAGAGUGGAAUUCCAUGUGUAGCGGUGAAAUGCGUAGAUAUAUGGAGGAACACCAGUGGCGAAGGCGACUCUCUGGUCUGUAACUGACGCUGAGGCUCGAAAGCGUGGGUAGCAAACAGG
rnacentral:rRNA from 1 species